rnacentral:tRNA from 1 species
UUAAACUAAGCUGAAAGCGUUUCAUUGUUACUGAAAAAAUAGAAAGUUUAAA